UGGGGAAUUGUUCGCAAUGGGCGCAAGCCUGACGACGCAACGCCGCGUGGAGGAUGAAGAUUUUCGGAUCGUAAACUCCUGUCGAGCGGGAAGAACAGCUUUGGAGCGAAUAUCUCCGAAGCCUGACGGUACCGCUAAAGGAAGCCCCGGCUAACUCCGUGCCAGCAGCCGCGGUAAUACGGGGGGGGCAAGCGUUGUUCGGAAUUACUGGGCGUAAAGGGCUCGUAGGCGGCCAACUAAGUCAGAUGUGAAAUCCCCAGGCUCAACCUGGGAACUGCAUCUGAUACUGGUUGGCUUGAAUUCGGGAGAGGGAUGCAGAAUUCCAGGUGUAGCGGUGAAAUGCGUAGAUAUCUGGAGGAAUACCGGUGGCGAAGGCGGCAUCCUGGACCGACAUUGACGCUGAGGAGCGAAAGCUAGGGGAGCAAA
rnacentral:rRNA from 1 species